rnacentral:rRNA from 1 species
UACGGAGGGUGCUAACGUUAUCCGGAAUCACUGGGCGUAAAGCGCAUGUAGGUGGUUUUGUAAGUGGGCGAUUAAAGACCGACGCUUAACGUCGGGCCUGUUGCCUAUACUGCAAGACUAGAGGAUAGCAGGGGUAAGCGGAACUUUAGGUGUAGGAGUGAAAUCCGUAGAUAUCUAAAGGAACACCAAUGGCGAAGGCAGCUUACUGGGCUAUUUCUGACACUGAGAUGCGAAAGCGUGGGGAGCGAACGGGG